CUCUUUGGUUAUCUAGCUGUAUGAUUUUUUUGAUUCAUAAGGCUGGACGACUAAAGCA
rnacentral:pre_miRNA from 1 species